rnacentral:lncRNA from 1 species
UUUAGAGAGAGAGAAGGGAGGUGCGGCGGUCGGUGACCGACGGUGGUCCGGGUGUGGCGAGUGAUGGUGGUCCUGCUACCCUUAAUUUUUAUCUGGAACCAUUUCUCGACAUCCCAAACUCUAUGGACUGGAAUUGAAGAAAAAGGGAAUUACGCUCGGUAGCAUCUAACAAGAAGUCAACGGGUCAGAAAGGGGAUUCGAAGUAUAGCUAAUCCUACAGGCAAAGGUAAAACUCAUGGAUAGAUUCUAAAGUUGAGGAUCA